AUUGAACGCUGGCGGCAUGCUUUACACAUGCAAGUCGAACGGUAACUGGGUGCUUGCACCGCUGACGAGUGGCGAACAGGUGAGUAAUGCGUCGGAACGCACCGAGUAAUGGGGGAUAACGCAGCGAAAGCUGUGCUAAUACCGCAUACGCUCUGAGGAGGAAAGCGGGGGACCUUCGGGCCUCGCGUUAUUCGAGCGGCCGACGUCUGAUUAGCUAGUAGGUGAGGUAAGAGCUCACCUAGGCGACGAUCAGUAGCGGGUCUGAGAGGAUGAUCCGCCACACUGGGACUGAGACACGGUCCAGACUCCUACGGGAGGCAGCAGUGGGGAAUAUUGCACAAUGGGCGCAAGCCUGAUGCAGCCAUGCCGCGUGUAUGAAGAAGGCCUUCGGGUUGUAAAGUACUUUCAGCGGGGAGGAAGGCGGUGAAGUUAAUAGCUUCACCGAUUGACGUUACCCGCAGAAGAAGCACCGGCUAACUCCGUGCCAGCAGCCGCAGUAA
rnacentral:rRNA from 1 species